GAUGAACGCUGGCGGCGUGCCUAAUACAUGCAAGUCGAGCGAACCACUUCGGUGGUGAGCGGCGAACGGGUGAGUAACACGUAGGUGAUCUGCGCAUCAGACGGGGACAACGAUUGGAAACGAUGGCUAAUACCGGAUAGGACGAAAGUUUAAAGGUGCUUCUGGCACCGCUGAUGUAUGAGCCUGCGGCGCAUGAGCUAGUUGGUAGGGUAAAGGCCUACCAAGGCGACGAUGCGUAGCCGACCCGAGAGGGUGAACGGCCACACUGGGACUGAGACACGGCCCAGACUCCUACGGGAGGCAGCAGGAGGGAAUCUUCGGCAAUGGGCGAAAGCCUGACCGAGCAACGCCGCGUGAAUGAUGAAGGCCUUCGGGUUGUAAAAUUCUGUUAUAAGGGAAGAACGACUUUAGUAGGAAAUGGCUAGAGUGUGACGGUACCUUAUGAGAAAGCCACGGCUACCUACGUGCCAGCAGCCGCAGUAA
rnacentral:rRNA from 1 species